rnacentral:rRNA from 1 species
UACGUAGGGGGCUAGCGUUGUCCGGAAUGAUUGGGCGUAAAGAGCGCGUAGGCGGCUGGGGAAGUCCGGUGUGAAAUCCACAGGCUUAACCUGUGAAUGCCGCUGGAAACUGUCUGGCUAGAGUCCGGAAGGGGCGAGUGGAAUUCCUGGUGUAGCGGUGAAAUGCGCAGAUAUCAGGAGGAACACCGAUGGCGAAGGCAGGUCACUGGGCCGCAACUGACGCUGAGGAGCGAAAGCAUGGGGAGCGAACAGG